AAAUUUAUCAGCAGAUAACAUUGUGGAAAAUAGUUGCGUCCGUACAGUGUGUUCUUCGUCGAAUUUGUGUUUGAUUUUUUCACUAUAUAUUACUUCUUGCUUGCGCGAGGGUGGUGUAGAUUUGUUAUUUUUUGCCCCGAAAAGAAGGUAGCCGGAUUAGUAGUCUAAUUGAGUAGAUGCUGGUGAGGGAGGGUUACUUGAUUUUUAUUGAGUACAUUAUGCUCUGCUUUGUGACGAGGUUUGAAAUUUGAUGGUUCUGAUGUGUAAUAGAGGGGGCAAAAGUGUUAUCCAUUUCAUUGUUUCUGUGCAUGUUUACGUUGCCCAUCGGUGGCGGGAGGCGGCAUUGCUGGCGGCCGAAGGGGUGCUUGUGGAAGCAGGUGGAAUAGUCGGCAGCUGUGGGGAUUCGUUAUUCUCCGAGGUUGGCGGGCUCGACGCCAGGCUCGAUGGGGCUGCGGGAUUGUCAAGCAGGCGGGUGAUUGCUCAACGAUGACUGGAGACGAUCUUCGGUAUUACAACUGCUUUAUACCAAUGGGUUAUUUGCAUCUCAAGUUAAAUUAGUCACUGUUGAUCAACAAUGAGAUGUGGCCAUUGUUUGAUGGAUCAUUGAUGAUACGGAUGUGCAAUGAAACAAUGAUAUACCCACUGUAUUGGACCCGAACACCUUCCUGAAAAUUGUUCUGAAGGGGUUAGCACAAGGAAACUAUUGUUAUGACUUGCGAGGUCUGCUGGAGGUGACCGGAUCCGGAUGACUUGAGCAAAGCUGUGAAAAUUCACGGCAAGGGAUGGGGGUACAAGGCAUGGGUCUGCGGCGCCACACCUUGCUGUUGCCUGCCGGUGGCCAGCGAGCUGUGGCGGUGCUUCUCUAUUGCAUGGCGAGGGACUGGGGUGCAAGGCGUGCAUCUGCAGUGCCACUCCUGGGGCAUGCCUCUCCUGCGACAUUGCCGGCAUACACAACAUACCUUACUACACGGGGAUUUCCUCUCUGAACUAAAUAUUAUGUCAGAACUGAAUAUUACGUCCGAAGACUGAAACAUCCAGAAAGCUUAUUGAGACUAUUCAUUGAUGGUGUUUCUCUACUACACGAGGAAGUUUCAUGUGCCAAUUAGGCAUGGACGACGACGGCCAUGAUCCCAUCAUCGCAAGCUCACGGGAGGGAGACACACGUCUCAUCCAGUGUAAUAGCACGCUCCAAAAAAUCCCUAACCCUCCAUGGAGCCAUUGCCAGGGUGAUGAGAUCAACACCACCCACCACCACCACCGAGCUGUAGACGGCGUGUCAUGGUGCUCCCUAGCUCUUCCCGCCUCUUAAGAGACCACAUGGCGUUCUGGCAGUUCUGGUGCAGUUUUUGGCCAAGGCUGGAAGCCAAGAACACUUCUUAAUUUUGAUCAUGGACGUGACAUUGUGGUCGGUGUUGUGUGGUGCAGUUCAGAGUUUUCUUGCCUGGCGUAUAACAAUGCAUGUUCAAUGGGGUAGCCUCUUCUCAGGCACGAGUAUCCGAGGCAGACCACGGCAUCUAUUUAGAAUAGCUACAACAAAAUUGUGACAGAGAUGGUUAGUGGGAGAAGGAACUUGAGACCACAGUCAAUUCUGCUGUAGGGACUGUGUGUAGAAGAUAGUAGUAGCAAACAUAGAAGUCACUUUGGAAAAAAAGUGUGCAUAUAUUGUUG